AACUUUGUGUAAUGAACGUAAAAUACUAUAAUCAAUAAAACUUUCAACAACGGAUCUCUUGGCUCUCACAUCGAUGAAGAACGCAGCGAAAUGCGAUAAGUAAUGUGAAUUGCAGAAUUCAGUGAAUCAUCGAAUCUUUGAACGCACCUUGCACCUUUURGUAUUCCGAAAGGUAUGCCUGUUUGAGUGUCUU
rnacentral:rRNA from 1 species